rnacentral:rRNA from 1 species
AUACGUAGGGAGCGAGCGUUGUCCGGAAUUACUGGGUGUAAAGGGAGCGUAGGCGGGAUGGCUAGUCAGAUGUGAAAACUAUGGGCUCAACCCAUAGACUGCAUUUGAAACUGUUGUUCUUGAGUGAAGUAGAGGUAAGCGGAAUUCCUGGUGUAGCGGUGAAAUGCGUAGAUAUCAGGAGGAACAUCGGUGGCGAAGGCGGCUUACUGGGCUUUUACUGACGCUGAGGCUCGAAAGCGUGGGGAGCAAACAGGAUUAGAUACCCUGGUAGUCCACGCUGUAAACGAUGAUUACUAGGUGUGGGGGGACUGACCCCUUCCGUGCCGCAGUUAACACAAUAAGUAAUCCACCUGGGGAGUACGGCCGCAAGGUUGAAACUCAAAUGAAUUGACGGGG